UGCCUUCACUGCAGAAUCAAGGAGCACUCGUGCUGCCACAAAAUAGAUGUUCUUAUUCGAACAAAAAUCCAGCCAACAACACAGGAAAUAAGAUAUUGCUCAGGCACCUAGGAAAGAGUGUAAGAACAGGGCAAGCACAGGGACAGUUCCUUGGAUUACAUUCCCAAACACCAAGAAUUUGCAGCCCGGUACAUGACUGAGCCAGAGCCUUGGAAAAAGUGUCUAUUUAAACUUACAUUUGAAAAUUCAAAUAACAGUGAUAAACUACUGAAGAUCAUCAGGUAAGAAAAAAUUACGAAUGCUCAGAAGGGAGUCUCUGCAAACAGAAUUCCUGAAAGAAACUUGAAUCUCAUUUCCCAUUCAGUAGACUGUAUUAACUAAUAAUGUAGAAAUGAGUGAUUCAAACAUCUGAGUCAUUUCUACCUGUAUCCACAGUAUAUUCCUUCCCUUCAGCUGUAUCCAAGUAGUAUAAAGCCACAACUUCACACUGGUAUGGUCAGGCACAAAUUACUAAGUCACGUGGUAUUUUUCAAAUAAAACUGAAUCAUCGAAAGGACAAAGAGAACAAACAGCAAAGGAGCUCACUGCAAAAAACAUGGUGACUUCCUACCAACCCUCAAAGAAAAUGAGGGGAAAAAAGAAACAAGCUACAUCUCCAGCCUGAUUCAACAGGGGUUUUUACACUUAUAUUUAAGUCUUCAACUGUAUUUACUAUUUGAGUAAUUCAGAUGUUCAUAUCUUCCUUUUCCAAAGCUUCAUGCCCUGU